rnacentral:rRNA from 1 species
GCCUACGGGGGGCAGCAGUAGGGAAUCUUCCACAAUGGGCGAAAGCCUGAUGGAGCAACGCCGCGUGGGUGAAGAAGGUCUUCGGAUCGUAAAACCCUGUUGUUAGAGAAGAAAGUGCGUGAGAGUAACUGUUCACGUUUCGACGAUAUCUAACCAGAAAGCCACGGCUAACUACGUGCCAGCAGCCGCGGUAAUACGUAGGUGGCAAGCGUUAUCCGGAUUUAUUGGGCGUAAAGGGAACGCAGGCGGUCUUUUAAGUCUGAUGUGAAAGCCUUCGGCUUAACCGGAGUAGUGCAUUGGAAACU